rnacentral:rRNA from 1 species
AUGGAUGUGAAAUCCGCUUUCCUCAACGGCGACCUCAAAGAAGAAGUGUACGUAGAACAUCCCCUCGGCUACGAGAAGAAAGGCGAAGAAGGGAAAGUUUACAAACUCAAGAAGGCACUUUACGGGUUGAAGCAAGCGCCAAGAGUUUGGAACUCAAAGUUAGAUCAAAGUUUGGUCUCGCUCGGAUCCAAAGGAUGUUCCCUCGAUGAUCUGAAAGAUAGUCUGUCAAGCACCGAAGAACAUGUGAAGUUUGAAGACGCGGCCGAAGAGGAAUGUUGCCGUCAACCUACGGUUGAGCUGACGGCAAUGAAGUCGGUCCCUGAAAUGCUACGAGGAACGACAAAAGCAAUGUCAAGGAUAAUGUCUGUGAGCAGUAGUCGCAUUUGGGACCCAGGUCGAUAG